rnacentral:miRNA from 1 species
CCUGUAAUUGUUCGUUCCCUU